GGUUACUGCUAUCGAGGUUCGACUAAGCCAUGCGAGUCGAAUGUAGCAAUACAUGGCGAACUGCUCAGUAACACGUGGACAACCUGCCCUUAGGUUGGGUAUAAACCCGGGAAACUGGGUAUAAUACCCGAUAGGUCUCGAUUGCUGGAAUGCAUCGAGAUUUAAAGCUCCGGCGCCUAAGGAUGGGUCUGCGACCUAUCAGGUAGUAGUGGGUGUAGCGUACCUACUAGCCUACGACGGGUACGGGUUGUGAGAGCAAGAGCCCGGAGAUGGAUUCUGAGACACGAAUCCAGGCCCUACGGGGUGCAGCAGGCGCGAAAACUUUACAAUGCUGGCAACAGCGAUAAGGGAACCUCGAGUGCCAGGUUACAAAUCUGGCUGUCGAGAUGCCUAAAAAGCAUUUCAUAGCAAGGGCCGGGCAAGACCGGUGCCAGCCGCCGCGGUAACACCGGCGGCUCGAGUGGUAACCGUUAUUAUUGGGUCUAAAGGGUCUGUAGCCGGCCGGAUAAGUCUCUUGAGAAAUCUGGCAGCUUAACUGUCAGGCUUUCAGGAGAUACUGUCUGGCUCGAGGCCGGGAGAGGCGAGAGGUACUUCAGGGGUAGGGGUGAAAUCUUGUAAUCCUUGAAAGACCACCAGUGGCGAAAGCGUCUCACCAGAACGGACCUGACGGCAAGGGACGAAAGCUAGGGGCACGAACCGGAUUAGAUACCCC
rnacentral:rRNA from 1 species